AUUGAACGCUGGCGGCAGGCUUAACACAUGCAAGUCGAGCGGUAGCACAAGAGAGCUUGCUCUCUGGGUGACGAGCGGCGGACGGGUGAGUAAUGUCUGGGAAACUGCCUGAUGGAGGGGGAUAACUACUGGAAACGGUAGCUAAUACCGCAUAACGUCGCAAGACCAAAGAGGGGGACCUUCGGGCCUCUUGCCAUCAGAUGUGCCCAGAUGGGAUUAGCUAGUAGGUGGGGUAAUGGCUCACCUAGGCGACGAUCCCUAGCUGGUCUGAGAGGAUGACCAGCCACACUGGAACUGAGACACGGUCCAGACUCCUACGGGAGGCAGCAGUGGGGAAUAUUGCACAAUGGGCGCAAGCCUGAUGCAGCCAUGCCGCGUGUGUGAAGAAGGCCUUCGGGUUGUAAAGCACUUUCAGCGAGGAGGAAGGUGGUGAACUUAAUACGUUCAUCAAUUGACGUUACUCGCAGAAGAAGCAACGGCUAACUCCGCG
rnacentral:rRNA from 1 species